UUUUCUCUUCAUGUGGCCGGCCAUAGCAAGAACAAAGAGAGGAAAAGAAAAACAAGAAACCUAGGUGGGAAAAUUAAAGAAAAAGUGUGGGAUUUCAAGGAAUCAAGCAAUCAAAGGUAAAAUUUCUUGAUUUUGACUUGUGAUCUACCUUUCCCAUGCUUUUCUCCUUCUUUCCAUGGUUANACCUUUCCCAUGCUUUUCUCCUUCUUUUCCAUGGUUAGAUUUCAUGUUUUCAUGGUGAAUUCAUGGCUGCCCAAAUGGGUAGGGAGAGAGAAUGAAGUUAGAUUGAUUUGAUUUUAGGUUAUGUUAGUGUUUUAAGUUAGUUUAGCAUAUUUAGAAAUAAAACAAUAAGAAAAGAAUUCAUUUUCCCCCAUUACCAUCAUUGGCUGAAUUUCCUAAGGAGAAUAUUGUGGCUGAAUUUGAUGAUAUUUGAUGAUAUUUUGGUAAUAUUUGAUGUUUGGUGAGGCUAGAAAUUAAAUGGAAAAUUUUGGUGCGAAAAUACAAAUUUUUGCUCAACAUAUAAACAUGUGUAAUUAUUGACUCGAGACCGAUAAAUUGAACCUCAUUCAUAGUCACUGAGGUAAUUUAGGUAUAAUUGGAGUGUGAAAAGUGAAAAGAAUUUAUUUGGAGUUAAAUUGAAGAUUUUAGCCGAUUAGACCAAAAUAGUGCAAAUUAGGUCGAAUACCGUAUUUAAACGGCUAUUCAGACAUUUUUGCAUUCCAUAUCAUGCAUUAGUAGCCUAAAUUAGUUUAAUUUCAAUUUAGUACCAAUGUGGUGAAUUUCUCAAUUUUGUACUGUGUCAAGGUGGUGAGUCCUCCGAUAAAGGCAAGGAAAUUACAUCCAAGGAUCAGUAAACAGAGUACUUCAAAAGUCUGCAUUCUAGACAUUGUGAGUAAACUUACUAUCAUUUUAAUCAUCUAGGGUGAUUUUUCGAUGGUUUCAUGAAUUUUAUGGAAAAAUGGAUUUAAAAGGUAAAUUUUCAUGUUCUAUGAAUAAAGGUGUUCCAAUGAAAUUAAAUUAUAAAUUGUUUUGAAAUUAAUGAUGAUUUUGAAAAAUAGAGUACAUGAAGACUGUUAAUUGUGGCAAUUUGAUUGUUUAAAUUUAUAGCUUAUGUUAUAUUGUUAUUGUAUUGGCAUGACUGGUUGGGCUGUGUUUUAUGAAUUGUAUGAAUUGUUUUAUUUUACACUUGCAAGCUGGGUAGUAUUUCAUUAGCCCUGUCAUGCUGUCAAAAUUUUAUUAUAUGGUGAAUUAUAUAUUAAUUAAUCACUACAGUAGGGGGUUUCUGUGGACUAGCCUUUUAGAGGGGCACAGUAAACCCCAUUAUAUUCUUACCUCGAUUGGAGAAGCGUGUAGGGUAUCUCCUGGGGUAAAGUUUAGGGUUCACUUCACGCUAAACCACCACGUGAGGGAGAACUCAGCCAACGCCAAGGAACGGCUGUACUUUUAAAUGAAAAAAAAAUGUGUUUUAUGCGAAAUGUGAAUAUUUAACAGCCUUGGCGGUCUCGGUAGGAUGCCUCGGCCAAGGUGUCCCUGAGAAUGGAUUUAUGGCACAAGCCUAGUUUUUAUGAGAUUCAUAAGCCUCUUCACGUAUUUUAAAUGAAAUGUAUUCUAAUGCUGUGACCUAGUUUACGAUGAUUUACUUGAUUAUCUCCAUGUACUCAACUCUAGAUGUUUAUGAUGAUGUCUGUUUACUCAUUGGGAUUCUAUAAUCUCACCACCCUCAUUUCCUUCCAUUUCAGGCUCAGUAUAGGCUGUAGAUAGCUGAUAGCGUCGAAGGCUACAGUUGACUCGACUACUUCAAAAAUCGUAGGUUCAUAGCCUUCUUUCACUUUUGUCAUUUGGGGGCCCAAGUGUCACUGUAAAUUAAAUUUUAUACUUUAGUUAUCUGUACUACUGUAUGUAAGAAUUUAUUUUGUUUUUACUCUGAUAAAACAAUUAAUUACACAGUGUUCUAAAAAUAUUAUUUUAAGUUAAAAAUGAGAAACUGAUAUUAAAACCUUGCGGGGUUCCGGUUGACAUUUUGGGUAAUGAGUGUCUAUCGGGGUACCACGACGAUUGUCACGAGCUCGAGGGGAGUAUGGGGUCAUGACAAUUUGAUUGGUAUUAGAGCUUUUGGUUUUAAAUAUAAGAGUUUUUAGUUUUAAAGUUGUUUUAAAAAUUUACAGUAUCAGUGUGGCCCCAAAUUAAGUUAGGUUAGGUUGAAUAGAAUGCAUGCAUUUGCAUAUAGAGUCUAAGGUUGAUUAAAUUUGCCUUGUUCCCUUGUAUAGAUUGCCAUGCCUCAUCGACGUAGACGCCCACUUCUCACUAGAUCGGUUGGGAGGGGAAGAGGUCGUUCCCAAUGUCAUCAGCUAGAUGCAGUAGAGGAGGAAUCGGAUGCAUCCACCGUUCGGGCAGCACCUGCUGCUGAGCAGGCUGAGACUCCUCCACAUUCUCUACAUCCUCCGUCACCUAAUGGUAUUCCUGCCAUGUCUCUUGAGACAACACAAGCAUUGAUAGCUUUCUUUACCCCAAUGGCUGGUCAAGCUCAGACUGGUCAAGUUCCACCUAUAAUGCCUCCAGCUACUCUUUCAGUUCUGUCAGUAUAGGAUGUAUCCAUUUCCAAGAAGCUGAAGGAGGCUAGACAAUUGGGUUGUGUGUCUUUCACGGGUGAGUUGGAUGCCACUAUGGCAAAGAACUAGAUUAAUCAGGUUUCAGAUACUCUCUCUGAUAUGAGAUUAGAUGACGACAUGAAGCUGAUGGUGGCUACGAGAUUAUUAGAGAAGAGGGCUCGUACUUGGUGACAUUAGGUGAAGUCCCGUUCCACUACUCCUUAGAUAUGGUCUGACUUUCUCAAGGAAUUCGACAAUCAGUAUUUCACUUAUUUCCAUCAAAAAGAAAAGAAAAGAGAAUUUCUGAGUUUGAAACAAGAAAAUUUAACUGUAGAGGAGUACGAAGCUCGUUUUAACGAGCUGAUGUUAUAUGUGUCCGAUCUGGUGAAAUCUGAGCAAGAUCAGGCUAAUUAUUUCGAAGAAAGGCUUCGUAAUGAGAUUAGAGAACGGAUGACAAUGACUGGUAGGGAGCCAUAUAAGAAGGUCGUACAGAUGGCUUGACGGGCUGAAAAGCUCGCGAUUGAGAAUAGGAGGAUUCGGACCGAGUUUGCAAAAAGGAAAAAUUCAAGUGUAUCUUCUAGUCAGUCACCAAAAAAGGGCAAAGACUCAUUUGCUUCAGGGAGCACUACUUCUGUUUCAGUGAGAUCUCCUCGACCUCCAUUUCCACCAUCACAGCAGAGACCUUCGAGGUUUAGCAAAUCUACUAUGACUGGUUCAGAAAAGAGUUUCAAAGGUUCUGACAGAUGCAGAAAUUGUGGGAAUUAUCAUGUUGGGCUGUGUAGGGGGCCUGCACAAUGUUUUCAUUGUGGUCAGCCGGGUCAUAUUAGGAGUAAUUGACCACGGUUAGGACGAGCCACUAUAGCUGCAUCAUCUCCGCCAGCUUGCACUAAUAUGCAGAGGAGAGAUUCUUCUGGGUUACCACCGAGACAAGGAGUAGCCAUACAGUCCGACGUGGAGAGUAAUACCCCAACACAUCCACCUUCGAGACCACAGACUUGUACUUCGACAAGAGUUUUCGUAGUGACAAAAAAUGAGGCACGGGUCCAACCUGGAGCAGUGAUAGGUAUUAUGUCUUUAUUUGGUAAAGAUGCUUAUGUUUUGAUAAAUUCUGGCUCAAAUAGAUCUUAUGUGAGUACGGCAUUUACAUCAAUUACUGAUAGAAACCUGUCACCAUUAGAGGCAGAAAUUGUAGUGCAUACCCCUCUAGGAGAACAGUUGAGUACAAAUACUUGUUAUAGAGACUGUAGGGUAAGGGUAGGUGAGGAAGAAUUUAGAGGUGACUUAAUUCCUCUAGAGAUCUUGGAUUUUGAUCUAAUAUUGGGUAUGGACUGGCUAAUUGCACAUCGGGCGAAUGUGGAUUGUUUUUGGAAAGAAGUUAUUCUUUGAAAUUCGAAGGGAGCAGAGAUUGUGUUUAUAGGGGAAUAUCGAGUAUUACCGUCUUGUAUAAUCUCAGCCAUCAAAGCUUCGAAAUUAGUGCAAAAAAUGUAUUCGGCUUAUUUGGCACAUGUGAUUGAUACUUUAAAGGGGGAACCUAAGUUAGAGAAUGUCCCAAUAGUAAAUGAGUUUUUUGAUGUAUUUCUUGAUGAGUUACCGGGACUACCUCCUGAUCGAGAGCUUGAAUUCCCUAUUGAUUUACUUUCGAGUACCCCACCUGUUUCUAUUCCUCCAUAUAGAAUGGCUCCGACAGAGUUGAAGGAACUGAAAGUCCAAUUGCAAGAUUUGGUGGACAAAGGUUUCAUUCGCCCUAGCAUUUCUCCUUGGGGAGCACCAGUCCUAUUUGUUAAGAAGAAGGAUGGCACUCUUCGAUUAUGUAUCGAUUACCGUCAGCUGAACCGAGUGACCAUCAAGAAUAAAUACCCUUUACCCGGGAUCGAUGGUCUUUUUGCUCAAUUACAAGGUGCUAUGGUGUUCUCUAAGAUUGAUUUGAGAUCUGGGUAUUAUCAGUUGAAGAUUAAGGAGCCAGAUGUACCCAAGAUUGCCUUCAGGACGCGUUAUGGGCAUUAUGAGUUUCUGAUGAUGUCGUUUGGUUUGACUAAUGCCCCGGUAACUUUUAUGGAUUUUAUGAACAGGGUUAGAUAAGUUUGUGAUAGUGUUCAUAGAUGACAUCCUGGUUUAUUCGAAGAAUGAUGAUGAACAUGCUGCCCAUUUGCGCAUUGUGUUGCAAACUUUGCGCGAAAGAGAACUCUAUGCCAAGUUCUCUAAAUGUGAGUUUUGGUUAAAGGAAGUGGUUUUCUUGGGACAUGUGGUGUCCGGAGCUAGAAUUUAUGUCGAUCCCAAAAAGAUUGAGGCAAUCUUACAAUGGGAGCAACCGAGAACGGUAACUGAGAUUCGUAGUUUCCUUGAAUUAACUGGUUAUUAUCGAAGAUUUGUUUAGGGGUUUUCAUUGAUAGCAGCUCCUUUGACUCGUUUGACUCAUAAAGGAGUUAAGUUUGAGUGGGAUGAUGUUUGUGAGAGUCAAUUUCAGGAGCUAAAGAACCAGUUAACCUCCGCUCCCGUUCUGACACUUUCGUGUUAAUGGAAAAGAAUUUGUGGUGUACAAUGAUGCAUCUAAGUUGGGAUUAGGGUGUGUGUUGAUGCAGGAUGAGAAAGUAAUAGCUUAUGCUUCCCGGCAGUUGAAGAAGCACGAGACGAAUUACCCUACUCAUGACCUGGAGUUAGCAGCAGUAGUCUUCGCAUUGAAGAUUUGGAGACAUUAUUUAUAUGGUGAGCAUUGUCGGAUUUUUACUAAUCAUAAGAGUUUGAAAUAUUUGUUCACCCAGAAAGAGCUUAACUUGAGACAGAGACGAUGGUUGGAGUUGAUUAAGGAUUAUGACUUGGUGAUUGAUUAUCAUCUUGGAAAGGCAAAUGUUGUAGCGGAUGCCUUAAGUUGUAAAUCCUCAUCGUCGUUAGUAACACUUCCGAGUUCUUAUUUUUCGAUAUUACUUGAGAUGAAAUAUCUAGGGAUCCAGUUGAAUAAUGGUGAGGAUGGAACCCUACUUGCUAGUUUCGUUGUGAGACCUUCAUUGUUGAAUCAGAUUAGAGAAUUGCAGAAAUUCGAUGAUUGGUUGAAGCAAGAAGUUCAAAAGCUACAAAAUGGAGAAACUAGUGAGUUUAGACUUAGCGAUAAUGGUACUUUGAUGCUUAGAGACCAAAUUUAUGUCCCUAAGGAUGAUCAGUUGAGACGAGCUAUUUUGGAGGAAGCUCAUUCUUCCGUCUACGCUUUACAUCUCGGAAGCACAAAGAUGAAUCGGACUAUUGAAGAAAGUUAUUGAUGGCCGGGUAUGAAACGAGACAUAGCAGAGUUUGUAGCAAAAUGUCUCACAUGCCAACAGAUCAAGGCGGAGCAUCAAAAAUCGUCAGAUACUCUUCAGCCUUUACCGAUUCCUGAAUAGAAGUGGGAACAUGUGACUAUGGACUUUGUAUUGGGUUUGCCGCGAACACAAAGUGGAAAGGAUGCUAUUUGGGUGAUUGUGGAUAGAUUGACUAAGUCCGCCCAUUUUUGACUAUCCAUAACACGUAUUCUAUUGAGAAACUCGCAAAACUUUAUAUAGAUGAGAUUAUGAGAUUACACGGAGUUCUAGUUUCUAUUGUGUCAGAUUGAGACCCUCGAUUUACUUCUCAAUUUUGGUUGAAAUUUCAGGAAGCUCUCGAAACUAAAUUAAGAUUUAGUACUGCUUUUCAUCCGCAAACUAAUGGUCAAUCUGAAAGAACUAUUCAUACCUUGGAGGAUAUGUUACGGGCUUGUGUCAUUGACUUCAUUAGGAGUUGGGACAGACACUUGCCAUUGGUAGAGUUCGCGUAUGAUAACAGUUUUCAGUCUAGUAUUGGGAUGGCACCAUACGAGGCUUUGUAUGGAAGGAAGUGCCAAACUCAGCUCUGUUGGGAUGAAGUGGGUGAGAGGAAAUUGGUGAAUGUGGAAUUGAUUGAUCUGACUAAUGACAAGGUCAAGUUUAUCAUAGAGCAGUUAAAGAUAGCUCAAGAUAGGCAGAAGAGUUAUUCUGAUAAACGAAGGAAAGAUUUGGAGUUUGAAGUUGACGAUAAAGUUUUUCUUAAGGUUUGUUCUUGGAAAGGUAAUAAUUUGAAAAUUUCAAGUAUUAAAUCUUAUUUGAUUAUACUAUUGUGAUAAUUUAUGGUAUUUAUUGGAUAAUGGAAGGUGUGAUUCGAUUCGUGAAGCGAGGAAAGCUCAAUCUGAGAUACAUUGGACCCUUUCGUAUCAUUGAAAGGAUUGGGCCAGUGGCUUACAGACUUGAAUUUCCCCGGAGUUAGAUUGGAUUCAUAAUAUCAUCCAUGUCUAGAUGUUGAAAAAGUAUGUUCCCGAUCCCUCUCACAUUCUAAAGACACCUCCCAUUGAGUUGCAUGAAGAUUUGAAGUUUGAGGUACAACCCGUACGUAUUCUAGAUCGAAAGUAUCGAGUGCUAAGGAACAAGAGCAUUCCAAUGGUGAAAGUAUUGUGGAAGAAUGCUCGAAUGGAAGAGAUGACGUGGGAAGUCGAGCACCAGAUGAGAAACCAAUAUCCACAUCUUUUCUUUGAACCUGGUAAGUGAAAUUUUGAGAUGAAAUUUUAUUUUAAGGGGGGUAGUGCUGUAAAGCCAAACCUUAUAAAAUACUUGUCAUGACAUACAUGUGAUAGAUAGCAUGUUUACAUGCUAAGAGAGUCCCGAAAAAUUUACAAAAGUCGGUAUUGUACCUAGAGGAACAACAAAGUUGAUUUAAGCCUCGAACUAGAUCAAAUAGAGAUUUUAGGGUGAAAUUGAAAAUUUUACAUUCAAUGAAUGACUUAAAAUGGUGAUUCGGAGUUCGAGGAUUAAUUUGGAGUCAAAUCGAAAUUUUCACUAUCUAGGGGCAAAAUGGUAAUUUUGCCACUUGAGGAUAAAAUUGGAAUAUUGGAAGAAUUUUUUGAUCAAGAUUGAUCACAUUUGACUCAUUGGAGUAUAAUUUGAGGUUGAUAAGUGAAAAAAAUUGUAAUCCCGGUAUUUUCGAAACAUAGAGGUAAAGUGGUAAUUUUGCCACCUUAGGGGCAAAAUUGUAAUUUACACACCCGACACUUGUCCAGCACAUGGAUUUUAUCCAAUAUUAUCAUGGAUAAUUGAAGGAAUUUAACUGGUGGAGAGAGAAAGCUUAAUAGUUAAGAAAUUAAAAAUGGACCAAUGGGAUGGUGGCAUGUGUCAAGUUAAUAUCCAUUUACUUUUUUUAGCUUUAAACUCAGCAAAAAUCAGCUUAUUUUCUCUUCAUGUGGCCGGCCAUAGCAAGAACAAAGAGAGGAAAAGAAAAACAAUAAACCUAGGUGGGAAAAUUAAAAAAAAGUGUGGGAUUUCAAGGAAUCAAGCAAUCAAAAGUAAAAUUUCUUGAUUUUGGCUUGUGAUCUACCUUACCCAUGCUUUUCGCCUUAUUUUCCAUGGUUAGAUUUCAUGUUUUCAUGGUGAAUUCAUGGUUGCCCAAAUGGGUAUGGAGAGAGUAUGAAGUUAGAUUGAUUUGAUUUUAAGUUAUAUUAGUGUUUUAAGUUACUUUAGCACAUUUAGAAACAAAACAAUAAGAAAAGAAUUCAUUUUCCCCCAUUACCAUCAUUGGCCAAAUUUCCUAGGGAGAAUAUAAUGGCUGAAUUUGAUGAUAUUUCAUGAUAUUUUGGUGAUAUUUGAUGUUUGGUGAGGCUAGAAAUUAAAUGGGAAAUUUUGGUGCGAAAAUACGAAUUUUUGCUCAACAUAUAAACAUAUGUAAUUAUUGACCCGAGAUUGAUAAAUUGAACCUCAUUCACAGUCACUGAGGUAAUUUAGGUAUAAUUGGAGUGUAGAAAGUGAAACGAAUUGAUUUGGAGUUAAAUUGAAGAUUUUUGCCGAUUAGAUCGAGAAUAGCGCAAAUUAGGUCGAAUACUGUAUUUAAGCGGCUAUUCGGACAUUUUUUGUAUUCCAUGUCAUGCAUUAGUAGGCUAAAUUAGUUUAAUUUCAAUUUAGUAUCAAUGUGGUGAAUUUCUCAAUUUUGUACUAUGUCAAGGUGGUGAGUCCUCCGAUAAAGGCAAAGAAAUUGCAUCCGAGGACCGGUAGAUAGAGUACUUCGAAAGUCUGCAUUCUAGACAUUGUGAGUAAACUUACUGUCAUUGUAAUUAUCUAGGGUGGUUUUUAGAUGAUUUCAUGAAUUUUAUGAAAAAAUGGAUUUAAAAGGUAAAUUUUCAUGUUUUAUGAAUAAAGGUGUUCAAAUGAAAUUAAAUUAUAAAUUAUUUUGAAAUUAAUAAUGAUUUUGAAAAAUAGAGUACACGGAGACUGUUAAUUGUGGCAAUUUGAUUGUUUAAAUUGAUGGCUUAUGUUAUAUUGUUAUUGUGUUAGCAUGAUUGGUUGGGCUGUGUUUUAUGAAUUGUAUGAAUUGUUUUAUUUUACCUUAGCAGGUUGGGUAGUAUUUCAUUAGCCCUAUCAUGUUGUCAAAAUUUUAUUAUAUGGUGGAUUAUAUAUUAAUUAAUCACUGCAGUAGGGGGUUUCUGUGGAUCAGCCUUUUAGAAAGGCACAGUAAACCCCAUUAUAUUUUUACCUCGAUCGGAGAGGCGCGUAGGGUAUCUCCUGGGGUAAAAUUUAGGUUUCACUUCACGCUAAACAACCACGUGAGGGAGAACUCAGCCAACGCCAAGGAACGGUUGUACUUUUAAAUGAAAAAAAAAUGUGUUUUAUGCGAAAUGUGAAUUUUUAACAGCCUUGGCAAUCUUGGUAGGAUGCCUUGGCCAAAGUGUCCCUGAAAAUGGAUUUAUGGCACAAGCCUAGUUUUUAUGAGAUUCAUAGGCCUCUUCUCUUAUUUUAAAUGAAAUGUAUUUUAAUGCUAUGACCCAGUUUACGAUGAUUUACUUGAUCGUCUCCAUGUACUCAACUCUAGAUAUUUAUGAUGAUGUCUCUUUACUCAUUGAGAUUUUAUAAUCUCACCACCCUCUUUUCCCUCCAUUUCAGGCUUAGUAUAAGCUGUAGAUAACUGAUAGCGUCGAAGGCUACAGUUGACUCGACUACUUCAAAAAUCGUAGGUUCAUAACCUUCUUUCACUUUUGUCAUUUGGGGGCCCACGUGUCACUGUAAAUUAAAUUCAUACUUUAGUUAUCUGUACUACUGUAUGUAAGAAUUUAUUUUGUUUUUACUCUGAUAAAAAAAUUAAUUACGCAGUGUUCUAAAAAUAUUAUUUUAAGUUGGAAAUGAGAAGUUGAUAUUAAAGCCUUGCGGGGUUUCGGUUGACAUUCCGGGUAAUGAGUGUCUAUCGGGG
rnacentral:lncRNA from 1 species